CCGCAGGGGUCCAUUCGCGACGUCCCCUCGAGGCGGCAGCCCAAAGUUCGCGUCCAGCAAAACCUCAUUGGAGGAAUGGACGCCAUG
rnacentral:ncRNA from 1 species